UUAUCUACUCAGUCGUCUUUCGGAUUGUAUUUAAAAAUCUGGAACACCUUAGGAUUUUUACAAAAUAAAGUGUGCUGUGACAGUUACGAUAAUUGGUAGUUAAUUCACUCACAAUUUUUGUGUUGCUGCUACUCAAGUGCUAAAAAAGAUUUGAAGGAAAAAUGAAAAAACGAAAAUCAAAAGCACAGAAGAGACAAUAUAAACUCAAGCAAAUGGACAUAGCAUCUCAAGCACAUUCUACAACUUUGACCGGCAAAGAACAUGCAAGUUCGGAAAGUGACAAGACAAGAAAAAAAAGUCAGGAGGCAUCAGAAGCUGGCACUUUCGAUACAGAAAAAAUGAGACAGAUGAGUGUAGAAAGCAAUUAUUGCACAAAUGAUAUUCAGCAAAAUAUCGGCGAUUCUCAAAGCAGUUUCGAAAGCAGUGAAGAAGAUGCAAAUGCAAUAACACCUAGAAUGGAAUAUCUCAUGCAUCCGUUUGAUUCCGCAAUGUCAAGGAAGGAAAUUAGAAAAAUGGCUAUUCAAAAGAUGAAACAACUUGGCUACGCAGUAAUGAUUACAAAACCAGGAAAGUUUGCAAAGAAAUAUGCUUUUUCAGCACCUUAUCAUUUAUUUUUCACGAGAGUCGAAAAUUCCGAAGAGACUUAUAAUCAAAAGUUCUCCAUAACUUUUUCUGAGAUUCUCGACCGUAGUCUUGGAGAAAUUGUUAAUAGUCUACAUUUAACUUUUAUGGUAGAUGAUACAUGGUUGUAUUUGCAGUAUUUGUUGGCUGGCCAACGUACCGACAUGACAAUUUUGUGCAAACAUAGAAUACAUAAUGAAAAAUUAAAUGAAAACGUUACUAUAAUAAAUGUAAACCAGCGUGAUCAGUUCUCUAGUCAUCAUACGAACAUCACAAUCCUGCAAUAUAGAAAUGGGCUUAGGGUGAUUGUCUCUACUGCUAGCUUACAUUCUAUCGAUUGGGUAAAUAGGACACAAGGAUUGUGGAUCUCGCCUCAUCUGCCUUAUCUGCCCGAAUCCGCAAAUCCUAAUGAUGGGGAAUCUAAAACGAAUUUUAAAAAGGAUCUUGAGCUAUAUCUGAGUAAAUAUGAACAACCGACUUUGACGUCGUGGAUACGUGCAGUGCGGAUGGCGGAUUUUUCUGAUAUAAACGUGUUUCUCGUCGCUUCUGUUCCCGGAAUUUAUAAAGCUGUCGAAGCCGACCUUUGGGGAUACAGGAAAUUGGCACACGUUCUAUCGCGCUAUGCCACAUUACCGUCAAAUGCACAAUGGCCUAUAGUCGCACAAAGUUCUGGUAUAGGCUGCUUUGGUUCAAAUUUCGAAAAUUGGUUGAAAGACAUAACUUGGUGUAUGUCGGAGGGGACUUCUAAAGGUUCAAAGAAUCAACCACAAUUUCGGAUUAUUUAUCCGUCAAUAGAGAAUUAUAAGCAAAGCUUUGAUUAUCAAGAUUUCAUUACCCCCUUGUCGUACAGAGCAGAAAAUCAUUCUAAGCAACAGUGGCUAAAAUUAUACUUAUAUCAAUGGAAAGCUAAGCGAACAGGACGAGAUCGUGCGAUGCCUAAUAUUAAAUCCUACACAAGGAUUUCGCCCGAUUUGAAAAGAAUUCCCUGGUUUGUGCUCACCAGCGCAAAUUUGAGCAAAGCCGCAUGGGGAUCAAUCAAACAAUACAAAGGUUACAAUAUAGGAAACUACGAGGCCGGUGUCAUAUUCAUACCAAAAUUUAUCACUGGGACAACAACAUUUCCUAUUGGGGAAGAAGAAGAUACAGGCGUUCCAGUAUUUCCAAUCCCAUACGAUCUUCCAUUAAGCCAAUAUAAUUCGGGCGAUAGUCCUUUCGUCAACGAAUUUGUCAACUCUACACACUGAGUAAAUAUUGCGUCAAAUGGCCGAAGUGCACAUAAUACACGAUUUCAAGCAUGAUUGGUGGUUCAUCUUUUAAACUGUACUUACAUGUCCCUUUGUGCACUUAUUUAACUUGAGUUAAAACUUGAGUUCAAUCUUAAAGUAACUAAUUUAAUUUUAUAUCAAACUGGAUUGCGCGCGAUGAAUCUCACGUGGGUCAAACAGGUCGUAUGCUAAAAACAAGAAUUAGUGAACAUAGGAAUCAUGUAAAAUGGAACAUCGCAACAUUUAGCAAUUACUGAGAACACUGACAGGAAUUGUAAUAUGAGUUUAAUUGGGACAAUAUAAAAAUUCUUGACAAUGAAAGUUUUUUAAGCAAACGUCUAAUAUCGGAAAUGAUUUUUAUACACAAACAGAAAAAUGAUUUAAAUUUACAGAGUGACACGGAUCUUUUAGAUCUUAUAUAUACUUCUUAUUGACUAAGUCUUGAUGCUUCCACCUCUUCACUCAAAGUAUAUAAGAUGUCCUCUAGUAUUGUGGUUCGACGUAGCUUGUUAUUUGAUCUAUGAUAAGUGUACAAAUAGAUGUAACAUCACAAGAUAAUUAUACCUAGAAGAUUUGUAUUAAAUUUUGUAUUCUAAUGCACAUCAAUCGGACUGUCUCUUUGAUGUUUGUUUCGACAACUUACUUACCAACAUCGUUCUAAUGGUUACGAACAAUCGAAACAAUUUUCUCACGGCGACUUAACAUAUAUUUAUUUUUAAAUUGUAUCACUAUUAUUAACUAAAUUGACAAGAUUGUCUUUCAAUUAUGUAUAAAUUAUCUUAUCUUAUUCGUUGAAGAGGACUCUAACUGUGGAUCGAAACAUUUGAAUUUUCGUUGUAAAUAUUGUAAUACAUAAUAAA